rnacentral:rRNA from 1 species
AUUGAACGCUGGCGGCAUGCUUUACACAUGCAAGUCGAACGGCAGCACAGUGAGCUUGCGCCUGGGUGGCGAGUGGCGAACGGGUGGGUAAUGUAUCGGAACGUACCUGGUAGUGGGGGAUAACUACUCGAAAGAGUGGCUAAUACCGCAUGAGAUCUUUGGAUGAAAGCGGGGAACCUUCGGGCCUCGUGCGACUGGAGCGGCCGAUAUCAGAUUAGGUUGUUGGUGGGGUAAAGGCCUACCAAGCCUGCGAUCUGUAGCUGGUCUGAGAGGACGACCAGCCACACUGGAACUGAGACACGGCCCAGACUCCUACGGGAGGCAGCAGUGGGGAAUUUUGGACAAUGGGCGCAAGCCUGAUCCAGCAAUGCCGCGUGCAGGACGAAGGCCUUCGGGUUGUAAACUGCUUUUGUACAGAAAGAAAAGCCUCUGGCUAAUAUCUAGAGAUCAUGACGGUACUGUAAGAAUAAGCACCGGCUAACUACGUG